UACGGAGGGUGCAAGCGUUAUCCGGAUUUACUGGGUUUAAAGGGUGCGUAGGUGGAUUGGUAAGUCAGUGGUGAAAUACUUUCGCUUAACGAAGGAACUGCCAUUGAUACUAUCAAUCUUGAAUGUAGUGGAGGUAGGCGGAAUGCGUCAUGUAGCGGUGAAAUGCUUAGAGAUGACAUAGAACACCCAUUGCGAAGGCAGCUAACUACGCGAUAAUUGACGCUGAUGCACGAAAGCGUGGGGAUCAAACAGG
rnacentral:rRNA from 1 species